rnacentral:rRNA from 1 species
UACAGAGGGUGCGAGCGUUAAUCGGAAUUACUGGGCGUAAAGGGUGCGUAGGUGGUUUAAUAAGUUAAGUGUGAAAGCCCCGGGCUUAACCUGGGAAUUGCGCUUAAUACUGUUGAGCUAGAGUACUGUAGAGGAAAGUGGAAUUUCCGGUGUAGCGGUGAAAUGCGUAGAUAUCGGAAGGAACAUCAGUGGCGAAGGCGGCUCACUGGCCCGAUACUGACGCUGAGGUGCGAAAGCGUGGGGAGCAAACAGG